UUUAAAUGUAAAAUAAAUAUACUAAAGUAGUAUUAGUUAUGUUCUUGAAAUUUAAAGAUUUUGGCGGUAUUUUAGUCUAUUUAGAGGAGCCNGUUCUAUGAUUGAUAAUCCCCGAUUAAUUUUACUUAAUUUAUAUAAAUUUGUAUACCGUCGUUAUAAGAAGAUUUUAAAAGAAUAUAAAUUUUUAAUAUUUUAUAUAAAAAAAUAUAUCAGAUCAAGGUGCAGUUUAUAGUUAAGAAGAAAUGGGCUACAAUAAAUUUAUUUAUAUGGAUUAAAGUAAGAAUUUGACUUUAUGAAAGUGGAUUUAAUAGUAAUAAAAUUAAUUUAAAUUUUAUGAUUUUAGCUCUAAAAUAUG
rnacentral:rRNA from 1 species